rnacentral:rRNA from 2 species
GAUGAACGCUGGCGGCGUGCCUAACACAUGCAAGUCGAGCGAGAAACUUACAGAUGAAAUUACGAUGGAUUCAGUAGGCGGAAAGCGGCGGACGGGUGAGUAACGCGUAGGCAACCUGCCCCUUUCAGAGGGAUAGCCAUUGGAAACGGUGAUUAAUACCUCAUAAAGUCUUUUCUUCACAUGAAGGAGAAGCCAAAGAUUUAUCGGGAAGGGAUGGGCCUGCGUCUGAUUAGGUAGUUGGAGGGGUAACGGCCCACCAAGCCUACGAUCAGUAGCCGACCUGAGAGGGUAACCGGCCACAUUGGAACUGAGACACGGUCCAAACUCCUACGGGAGGCAGCAGUGGGGAAUAUUGCACAAUGGGCGAAAGCCUGAUGCAGCAACGCCGCGUGAAUGAUGAAGGCCCUAUGGGUCGUAAAGUUCUGAUCUGAGGGAAGAAACAAAUGACGGUACCUCAGGAGAAAGCCCCGGCUAACUACGUGCCAGCAGCCGCGGUAAUACGUAGGGGGCAAGCGUUAUCCGGAUUUAUUGGGCGUAAAGGGUGCGUAGGUGGCCUAUUAAGCGUGGGGUGAAAGGCAAUGGCUCAACCAUUGUGAGCCCCGCGAACUGAUGGGCUUGAGUGCAGGAGGGGAAAGCGGAACUCCCAGUGUAGCGGUGAAAUGCGUAGAUAUUGGGAAGAACACCGGUGGCGAAGGC